ensembl:lncRNA
GGAGACUUCCGGACAUCUGACAUUGACUCUGGGAAACAUGGAACAUGACCCUGGACAGCUUGAACACCGAAGAGAGGGUCGAGACAGAGAUCAACUCCCACUGUGCUAACCGGCCUCGUUCUGUCCUAUCAGCGUUUCGCCCUCCAGGUUUUCUCUGGACGUUGUCUGAGAACGACGCCAGAGUGACGACGCCUCUUCCAUCCGAAGCUCCGAGCUCCGAGACCGAACCCAGCUGACGGAGAGCCGGCUGUGUGCUGUUGAUCCCGUUCAGCUGUUUGUCUGCCUCGGAACAAUACAGAACCAUCGCAGCGCCAAUACACUGGAAUACCGGAGCAGCGCUAAACAGAACCAGAACCACCUCGAACCGCGUCGAUCGGGGCAGACAGGCAUACCGGUACGUUCCGGAUUGUCUUUUGUCCCCCCUUCUCUUGCGGUGAGCUGCGAGCCGGUCGGCAUAGAGCCGCGUCAAAACAGGGACGUGUGGAGAGGAGAGGCCGUCUGUGUUGUGUGCGAUUCAGCUCCCCAGCUGAGCUGACGCUAAACGGUCCCGAUGGCUCGUCUCCGGGGAAAACCGUUCAAAGCCAGGAACCGGGAAGCUAGCGUGCGGCUAACACGCCACAACACACUAACCCUGAGUUUGUAGCGUAAUGUGUAACACAAACAUCCGCUUAUUCCGACAUCUGUAGCACAACAACACUAAGUUUAAAUCAUUAUGUGUCACACAAACAUCUGUUUGUAUGGAAGUCUGUAGCACAACAACCCGAAGAUUAUAGCGUAAUAUGUAACACAAACAUCAGUUUAUUUCGAC